GGACCCGCACAAGCGGUGGAACAUGUGGUUUAAUUCGAUGAUACGCGAAGAACCUUACCUGGGUUUGACAUGUUAGUGAAAGUUUUCUGAAAAGAAAUCCCUUUAAAAGCUUGCUUUUAAACACUAUCACAGGUGAUGCAUGGCUGUCGUCAGCUCGUGUCGUGAGAUGUUAGGUUAAGUCCUGCAACGAGCGCAACCCCUAUAUUUAGUUGCCAGCACAUAAUGGUGGGGACUCUAAAUAGACUGCCCGGAAUAACCGGGAGGAAGGUGGGGAUGAUGUCAAGUCAGUAUGUCCCUUAUACCCAGGGCUACACACGUGUUACAAUGGACAGUACAGAAAGUUGCAAUUCCGCGAGGAGGAGCCAAUCUUUAAACUGUCCCCAGUUCAGAUUGAAGUCUGAAAUUCGACUUCAUGAAGCAGGAAUCGCUAGUAAUCGUAGGUC
rnacentral:rRNA from 1 species